AGCGGCAGCGGAAAGUAGGUUGCUACUUUGCCGGCGAGCGGCGGACGGGUGAGUAAUGUCUGGGAAACUGCCUGAUGGAGGGGGAUAACUACUGGAAACGGUAGCUAAUACCGCAUAACGUCGCAAGACCAAAGAGGGGGACCUUCGGGCCUCUUGCCAUCAGAUGUGCCCAGAUGGGAUUAGCUAGUUGGUGGGGUAAUGGCUCACCAAGGCGACGAUCCGUAACUGGUCUGAGAGGAUGAUCAGUCACACUGGAACUGAGACACGGUCCAGACUCCUACGGGAGGCAGCAGUGGGGAAUAUUGGACAAUGGGCGAAAGCCUGAUCCAGCCAUGCCGCGUG
rnacentral:rRNA from 1 species